UCACAGAGUACAAUGUCUUGGUAAGCCGGCCUACGUAAGCCCAAAGAGAGGACUGCCGAGUGGGAACUUCCCUCAGCUUUAUCGUGCAGGACUUUGGGCUUAUGUUGUGUCCCCAGAGUACUAUCCCGUAGACACACUGCUCUUGGUCGGAGUAGGUCUUUGGUUCUCAUAUAUUGUAAACUCUUUCAGCUCUUUGCUGUUAGAUACUGCUGUGGAGGAGUCUCUGCUCCUGGGACAUUGAAUGGGCGGGGCGUAGCGCGUAGUCCUCACACCACACCUUCUUCUUUUGCUUGCACUGACAGUAAGUCUGAUACAAACCGCUACAGACAUUUGUGUUUUGAAAGUGAAGAGGACAGUUCAUGCCAGAAAUGGAUCGUGAAUGGACAUCAGUGGUGGCUACUCUGACAUGUUGUACCGGUGCCACUGUGCUGCUCCUGAAGUGGCUCGGACACCAGAAGGUCCAGAAGAAGAUCCAGCGAGCCCGGGCGAGGAGAGAUGCAGGACUCAGCCAGGCACAGCAGACCGUGCAAGAGUUCAAGGAAAAGAAUCCUGGGCUUGAUCUGAGUCCCAUUGUGGAUCUUCCCUUGGCUGAGCUCACUAAGCAGAUAAAAGCUGGAUCCCUGCAACCUGAUGCUGUGCUCCAUGCCUACAUGGACAAGGUUCUGGAGGUGAACAGGAAACUGAACUGCAGCACUGACGUUCUGAUGGAAAGCGUGAAGCAGUUGUCAGAAAUCGAGUCCCACAGAGAUGGCCUUCUCUGCGGAGUUCCCAUAAGCAUUAAGGAAAACAUUGGGUACAAGGGCCAUGACUCUACUUGUGGCAUGUUGUGUAGGCUGGAUGACCCUGCAGUAAUGGACAGUGUGGUGGUCACUGUACUGAAGAGGCAGGGAGCAAUUCCCUUUAUCAAAACCAAUGUUCCACAGGGCCUUCUCAAUUAUGAAUGUAGUAACCCAAUCUACGGGAUGACCGUGAACCCCUGCAACCUGCAGAAGACGUGUGGCGGCUCGUCGGGAGGGGAGGGCGCUUUGAUUGGAGGGGGUGGCUCUAUCCUGGGUGUGGGGACUGACAUUGGUGGAAGCAUUCGCAUCCCAGCAUCCUUCUGUGGCAUCUGUGGCUUCAAGCCCACAUCCAACAGGAUAAGUUUGCGUGGAGCAAAUUCUUGUGUCAAAGGCAUAAAGUCAGUCAUGUCUUCCAUUGGUCCCAUGGCCCGAGAUGUGGAGAGUUUGGCUCUGUGCAUGAGAGCUUUGCUUUGUGAGGACAUGUUUACUCUGGACCCUACAGUUCCACCGUUACCAUUCAACCAACAGGUGUAUGAAAGUUCAGAUCGCCUGAGGAUAGGCUACUAUGAGAACGAUGGGUACCUGCAGCCAUCUCCGAGCAUGGCCCGAGCUUUGCAAGAGACCAAGAAACUUCUGGAACAAGCAGGCCACACGCUGGUUCCAUUUAAGCCCCCAGAAAUCUACACCGCCAUGCAUGAAUAUGUUGUGAAAGGCGCUGUUGCUGAUGGAGCCACCACCCUUCUAAGCCAACUCAAGGGCGGCCCUGUUGAUCCUUGUGUGCAGUCUCAGAUCAUGCCUUAUAUCUUUCCUCGCUUUGUUAACAAAAUUUUCUCCAUCAUCCUCAAACCUAUCUACCCACGUAUGGCUGCAGUUUUGGAUGCAAUUCAUGGAGUCAACUCUGUUGCAGAACUGUGGAAACAACACUACACUAUUGAGAAUUAUAUCCAUCAUGUGAUUUCACAAUGGAAGGAGCUGGAGCUGGAUGUGCUGCUGUGUCCUAUGCUGGGACCUGCCUACAACUUCAAUUACUGUGGAAAGCUCACAAGUACUGUACCACACUCUGCCUUAUUUGGAGUUUUGUACUCACCCGUCCUCAUUUCAGUUGCUUCAGAAUGGGAAGGUGGUUUACAGUAGUUUAUGGCACUUCUCAUGAAUAGAGCUACAUUUUUAUCCCAUUUCCUUUUUAAAAGCAAUAAAGUGACUGUUGCUUUUUCUGUAAAAAGUGAAUGGAUCUGUACUUUAACUUACAAUUAUGAAAAUUAGCAUUUAAAUGAUCACGAAAACACAUAAAAUGUCUGUAUCCACCUUUAAUAUGGUGAUUUUGGGCUGUCCCACCUCACGGACAUUGAACUUAUGAAUAUAUUCAUUAAAAUGUUUAAGUAACACCAUAAUUGCAAUGUUAUUUGGUUAAGUUCCAAGCAAUUUAAUGUUAAAAUAUUUUUCUAUUAAGCUAUUUAAUUUAAUGGAAAAAGUCACAUCAACGCUUUUUAUGUGCAACCCUGUUACCAAAACAUUUACCCCUCGUAAAUAUAUAUAUGAAUGAACUCUGUUCACGGAAAGUGCUUCACAUCAUCAUACAGUGUAGUAGCGUUGGGCAGUAUGGCAAAAAAAAUAACAUCAUGGUACAUAUACUUGUUAUAUCAAGUUAAGCAGGGCCAAUUAUGCUCUCUUGGACCCUCACAAAAAAGUAAAGCAAACAGGUCUUGAACAUAGUUUUUUUUUCUUGAACAUUGCACAAAUUUAUGUUUAAAUAUAUAUAUUUUUUUAAUAUUUCUGCUGCCAAAAAAUGUAAUUCUGGCUUAGGCUGUUGGUUAGCAACUUAGUGGUCAGUGAAAUGAUACAAUUAUGGUGAAAAAUCCUUGCUGUUAUCAGAUAUAACAACAUGCCUCUAAACAGUAGAUCAGAUCCAUCUGAGGGUCGUCUGAACAUGUAUAGAAAGUAUAAGAUACAUGAUCAGAGACACAAAUUUGCUGAAAUUUGAAUAGUGAUCUAGAAAUGUUGAAUAUUUCUUAUUUAUUUUUAAUACAUUGGCUUUGUUAAUACAUUGGCAUCUGUUAUCUCUAGUGAUACACUGGCAUCUGAUGUAAUUUCCUUCAUUUCCCAUUGUCAGGAAUGGGCCUUAUGUGCAUCAAGUGUUUCUGUAUAGUCCCUUAGUUACUCAUUUACUGUCUACCUGUCAUUGAUUUAACGUCUAUGUUUUUUUUGCCUGGGUCAAACACUUCUGCAUGUUCCUCUCUUAACUCUUACACAACAGUUAGGAAAAGAAAAAGAAAGCAACUGCCUGGUUUACUGUCCAUUCUUGAACUCAUUCAGUGUUAUUACCUUAUGGAUGUUCUUGAAUACAAUUCUACAGUACAAUUAAGCUAUUCUAUGUAUCCAGCAUAGCACCUCCAAUCAAUAGUUUUUUUUUUUCAAAAAUGAUUGAAAAACAAAAAAAUUACUCUGCACUUUUGGACUUCAGUUCUUUUAAAAUAUGAAUAUUUGAGCAUUCCUGAAGCAAACAUAAAAAAACACCUUAAAGCAGUAUUUCUAAAUCCUACUUUUGGUGACCCACUGCACAGUUUCAAGUAUUUCUUUAUUCAAGGCAGCAGCUCAUCAACUGAUAAUAGAGCUGAAUUAGGUGUGAUGAGAUAGGGAAUGGUUGAAACUGUGCAGUGCUGUGGGUUGUUAGGAGAAACACUGCCUUAGUGUUUUCCUGUGCACUAAAAAUCUGAAUGCAAAGUUUGUGGCUUUUACUAUCAAACCUGUCUGAAAACAAAAGUUAGCUGCUUAGGGCCAUUGGGUUAAUCACUGCAUUUCAGUUACAUUUAAUUCCAGAUAUGAACGUUCAUUCACUUUAGUGCUGCUUAAUGACAUUUAUUAUUCAUUAUUUAGAACUUGUGUUAUUUCUUGUCUUCUGGUUUUUGCAUCUAUUGUCUUGCAUCUAACAAGAAGCUUAUGACCACCUGUUUAGCAUCAUACAACUGAACCUUAGUACAAUAACAACAUUUAGGAUUCUUUAAUGUCACGUAACACUGCUGAUAUCUGGAUUCUGAAUGGCUGUUUAUGUUGAACGAUAAAUUGUUUGGGUCUCAUAGAGAAAUCAGUUUCCCACUAGUAAUUAUAAUAUUGAGGUGCCAUUCAUGUCCGGUCAUCUCGUAAAUACGCCAUUUCCGACACAACGAAGGCAGCAGAAGAGAUGAGGUACUUCGCAACCUAAAGCCCAGCAAAUCAAAUGUUAUGGUUUUGAAAUGUCAAGCAUUUUAAAGUAGUUUUCUGCUAAGGCUUAUAAACAGCUUUGUCUACUAUCUUUUUUGGGUUUGAAAAGGAAAAUGCAUCAGAAUGCAAUGACUAAUGGGCAAGUUCUGCUGCUGGAGUCAACACUGGUGUUCACUUGAUCCCUCAGCCUUCCAAGGGCUCAUCUAACACCCUUCCCUUAAUCAAAUAAAGUGAUGGAACAGCCCUUAAGAUGGCACCAGGGAUUUCCCCAAGGGCAAUUGAUGAGGCCAAGUGGAUGAGGGCAUGUUAAAGCUGGUGCCCUGAGUUACACCAUGCUGUACAAUGUGCUCAACUUCCCCGUGGGGGUCGUGCCUGUAACCACAGUAACAGCCGAAGAUGAAGCCAAGCUGAGUCAUUACAGAGGAAAUUUUGGAGAUAUCUGGGACAAGCUGUUUGUCAAG